rnacentral:tRNA from 1 species
UCCAGGGAGGCUCAAAGGUAGAGCGGCUGGCUGUUAACCAGACGAGUGCGGGUUCGAGUCCCGCCCCUGGAG